rnacentral:rRNA from 1 species
UGCAAGUCGAACGGUGAAGCCCAGCUUGCUGGGUGGAUCAGUGGCGAACGGGUGAGUAACACGUGAGCAAUCUGCCCCUGACUCUGGGAUAAGCGCUGGAAACGGCGUCUAAUACUGGAUACGAACCGUGGAGGCAUCUUCAACGGUUGGAAAGAUUUUUUGGUCAGGGAUGAGCUCGCGGCCUAUCAGCUUGUUGGUGAGGUAAUGGCUCACCAAGGCGUCGACGGGUAGCCGGCCUGAGAGGGUGACCGGCCACACUGGGACUGAGACACGGCCCAGACUCCUACGGGAGGCAGCAGUGGGGAAUAUUGCACAAUGGGCGAAAGCCUGAUGCAGCAACGCCGCGUGAGGGAUGACGGCCUUCGGGUUGUAAACCUCUUUUAGCAGGGAAGAAGCGAAAGUGACGGUACCUGCAGAAAAAGCGCCGGCUAACUACGUGCCAGCAGCCGCGGUAAUACGUAGGGCGCAAGCGUUAUCCGGAAUUAUUGGGCGUAAAGAGCUCGUAGGCGGUUUGUCGCGUCUGCUGUGAAAUCCCGAGGCUCAACUUCGGGUCUGCAGUGGGUACGGGCAGACUAGAGUGCGGUAGGGGAGAUUGGAAUUCCUGGUGUAGCGGUGGAAUGCGCAGAUAUCAGGAGGAACACCGAUGGCGAAGGCAGAUCUCUGGGCCGUAACUGACGCUGAGGAGCGAAAGGGUGGGGAGCAAACAGGCUUAGAUACCCUGGUAGUCCACCCCGUAAACGUUGGGAACUAGUUGUGGGGUCCAUUCCACGGAUUCCGUGACGCAGCUAACGCAUUAAGUUCCCCGCCUGGGGAGUACGGCCGCAAGGCUAAAACUCAAAGGAAUUGACGGGGACCCGCACAAGCGGCGGAGCAUGCGGAUUAAUUCGAUGCAACGCGAAGAACCUUACCAAGGCUUGACAUAUACGAGAACGCUGCAGAAAUGUAGAACUCUUUGGACACUCGUAAACAGGUGGUGCAUGGUUGUCGUCAGCUCGUGUCGUGAGAUGUUGGGUUAAGUCCCGCAACGAGCGCAACCCUCGUUCUAUGUUGCCAGCACGUCAUGGUGGGAACUCAUGGGAUACUGCCGGGGUCAACUCGGAGGAAGGUGGGGAUGACGUCAAAUCAUCAUGCCCCUUAUGUCUUGGGCUUCACGCAUGCUACAAUGGCCGGUACAAAGGGCUGCAAUACCGUGAGGUGGAGCGAAUCCCAAAAAGCCGGUCCCAGUUCGGAUUGAGGUCUGCAACUCGACCUCAUGAAGUCGGAGUCGCUAGUAAUCGCAGAUCAGCAACGCUGCGGUGAAUACGUUCCCGGGUCUUGUACACACCGCCCGUCAAGUCAUGAAAGUCGGUAACACCUGAAGCCGGUGGCCCAACCCUUGUGGAGGGAGCCGUCGAA